UUCCUUCAGACUCCUUGGGGCAGCAGCCCACUGGGCUACACCCGGGAAGGCAGGAUGGAGCCUCUAAGAGUCACCCAAACGUUUCAGCCCCAGGCCUGCUGGCCCUGGCUGGUGGGCCUUCCCGCCUCACAGCUGCCCUCCCCCGAAGACACCGCAAAGGUGUGAAAAAGUCCAGCAUGAACUCAGACAGGACACAGACCAGGACCAGAGCCUCAUGUAGACAGAGCUGCUGCAGAAGGAGCAAUGAGCAUGCCUGCACCCUUGAGAGACCUGAGGAGGAUGAAGGAAAAUACGGACAACUUGAAUCCAUGACAGUCUUCAGUCUAGGAUCAAGGCCUCCUCACAAAAGCCAUCUCCUUGUAGCUGAGAACUCAACAGACUGUCUGGAAUCAGUUGCGGCAUCACAGUCCUGUAACACCAGAACUCCCAGGCAGAGAUGGAUGUCUGCAAGUGCCAAGUGGCUUGGUCUACACAGGUUCCUAAGGUUUCUCAAAGACUGAAUCUAUCUCUGCUUUUGACUCCCAUGGGAGAUGACAGAGCUGAAUUUGUGUGCAGUGAUCAGCUGGGCUAUACAGACACUGCUCAUCCAGAAACAUGGCUCCUUGGACAUCAACCUAGUAUGGAGGGAAGGAAAAUGAUGAAAGGAAUGCAUCCAGUUGACACGUGAUAGAGCAGGGCCUCAGGUCCCAAGGCUGCAAUCCUGAAUCCAUAGUGAUCCCUCCACGCUGUGAACCCAGCUCUCCGACCUAGGUCCGGCUGGUUCCAGGUGUGUCCCAGGACAUUAUCAUGGGAAUCCCAAUAAAGAUCAAAAUUGAGCUCCUCAAGAUGUUGCACAAGGCCAGCAGGGACCCAACAACAGGACGACCCUGGUUUCAACACAAACGUAUUCCAUAUGGCCUUUGUCACAUAGCUCACUGCAGGAGGGCAGCAUUCCUGACCUUGUCCUCCUGUCCUUCUGGUGCUGAGAAGAAUGAGUCUUUGUCCCUUAGACAGAUGCCUGCAGGAACUUGCGGGUUCCACAGUAAGACAGGACCAAUGUCCUCAGCAGGAACUCCCUGGAUGGGGAACUUGGAGUCCAUUGCUACCUGCACUGAGAGGCCUCAACAGCGCUGUGUGGGCUCCUCAGCAGACAUUCUUCCUCACUCUGUUUCUAUGGAGGAUCCCAAGGUGUGCCUACACCUGCCUGUGAGACAGGUCUAGACUACAGAGGCCAGGACACAGUCCUGGUUUCCCAUUGCUCAGUUAUGUUGAACUCUCCACUGAUGUAGUCAUGGAAAUACAUUGCUGUUAUUUCUUUACUCAA
rnacentral:lncRNA from 1 species